ACUCCUGCGGGAGGCAGCAGUGAGGAAUAUUGGACAAUGGGUGGAAGCCUGAUCCAGCCAUCCCGCGUGCAGGAAGACGGCCCUAUGGGUUGUAAACUGCUUUUAUCUGGGGAUAAACCUACUUACGUGUAAGUAGCUGAAGGUACCAGAAGAAUAAGCACCGGCUAACUCCGUGCCAGCAGCCGCGGUAAUACGGAGGGUGCAAGCGUUAUCCGGAUUUAUUGGGUUUAAAGGGUCCGUAGGCGGACUGAUAAGUCAGUGGUGAAAUCCGACAGCUUAACUGUCGAACUGCCAUUGAUACUGUUAGUCUUGAGUAAGGUUGAAGUGGCUGGAAUAAGUAGUGUAGCGGUGAAAUGCAUAGAUAUUACUUAGAACACCAAUUGCGAAGGCAGGUCACUAAGUCUUAACUGACGCUGAUGGACGAAAGCGUGGGGAGCGAACAGGAUUAGAAACCCUAGUAGUCCCAU
rnacentral:rRNA from 1 species